rfam:Triticum aestivum genome assembly, contig: Triticum_aestivum_CS42_TGACv1_scaffold_644617_T_1BS-0.244316_6BS-0.151017
AGUAUACUCCCUCCGUCCGGAAAUAUUUGUCAUCAAAAUGGAUAAAAAGGGAUGGAUUUAGACGUAUUUUAGUUCUAGAUAGAUAAAUCUAUUUUUAUUUAUUUUGAUGACAAGUAUUUUCGGACGAAAGGAGUAGAUG